rnacentral:rRNA from 1 species
CCUACGGGUGGCAGCAGUGGGGAAUAUUGGGCAAUGGACGCAAGUCUGAACCAGCAACGCCGCGUGAAGGAAGAAGGCUUUCGGGUUGUAAACUUCUUUUAAGGGGGAAGAGCAGAAGACGGUACCCCUUGAAUAAGCCACGGCUAACUCCGUGACAACAGCCGCGGUUAAACGUAGGAGGCAAGUGUUGUCCGGAUGUGCUGGGUGUAAAGGGCGUGCAUCCGGAGAUACAAGUCAGAUGUGAAAUCCACGGGCACAACCCGUGAACUGCCUUUGAAACUUUUUCCCUUGAGUGUCGGAGAGGUAAUCGGAAUUCCUAGUGUAGCGGUGAAAUGCGUAGAUAUUAGGAAGAACCCCAGUGGCGAAGGCGGAUUACUGGACGAUAACUGACGGUGAGGCGCGAAAGCGUGGGGAGCAAACAGGAUUAGAUACCCUAGUAGUC